CGUCAGGGGAAUGACGCAGGCGUGUGACGUAGCCUCAGGCUACUCUUGACCUUCUGCGGAUUCCAGAUGGAGGAUCGUCUUCCUCCUGACCAGCGCUGACCACAGAGAUGCAAGAGAGACUAUGGCUUGGACCUGCGUUCAAAAUUAAGCUUCUCACUCAUUUUCUGCAAAACUGGACCAGCCACCCCAAAUUGCCCGUGCCCUCUGCACAGGAACAGAGCCUGCCCAAGUAGGUGUCGGUUUGGAGGCAGAGAAAUGGCAGGAGAAGAAAGAAAAUUCCAGUGUUUUUACUCAGUGAGAAAAGUAAGGAUCUUAUCCAGGAUACUACAUUGUAUUCAGUCCUGUGUCUCCUUAGGCUCCUCUUCACGGUGACAGUUCCUCAGGUA